rnacentral:tRNA from 1 species
UCCCUGGUGGUCCAGUGGUUAGGACUCCAUGCUUCCACUUCAGGGGGCACAGGUUCGAUCCCUGGUUGGGGAA